CGCCUCUAAGUCAGAAUCCAUGCUAGAAAGCGAUGAUUUUUGCCUCCGCACAUUUUAGAUGGAUACGAAUAAGGCUCUUUGAGUCGCUGAACCAUAGCAGGUUGGCAAUGGUGCUCUUAACGGAAAGGUUUUGGGUGCUUGCUGACGGAUAGCAAUGUUACAAUGCGCGGGGAUAAAUCCUUUGCAUACGACUUAAAUGUACAACGGAGUAUUGUAAGCAGUAGAGUA
rnacentral:rRNA from 1 species